CCUACGGGAGGCAGCAGUGAGGAAUAUUGGUCAAUGGGCGUAAGCCUGAACCAGCCAAGUCGCGUGAGGGAUGAAGGUUCUAUGGAUUGUAAACUUCUUUUAUAAGGGAAUAAAGUGCGGGACGUGUCCCGUGUUGUAUGUACCUUAUGAAUAAGGAUCGGCUAACUCCGUGCCAGCAGCCGCGGUAAUACGGAGGAUGCGAGCGUUAUCCGGAUUUAUUGGGUUUAAAGGGUGCGUAGGCGGCCUGUUAAGUCAGCGGUGAAAGUUUGUGGCUCAACCAUAGAACUGCCGUUGAAACUGGGUGGCUAGAGUAUGUUAGAGGCAGGCGGAAUGCGUGGUGUAGCGGUGAAAUGCAUAGAUAUCACGAAGAACUCCGAUUGCGAAGGCAGCAUGCCGGGCCAAGACUGACGCUGAUGCACGAAAGCGUGGGGAUCAAACAGGAUUAGAUACCCGAGUAGUC
rnacentral:rRNA from 1 species